AAUGCCAAAAAUGAGGGUGAUGAAGACAUAGCAAACAAUGAUAAUUCAGAUUUUGAGACCCACAGGACUAUCACCCUCUAUGGCGCUGCUGGAAUCUCUGAGUCCGCUUUGUUAUCAUGGUGUCUUCUGUACAGUUUGAGAUUGCUGUGCUAAUUGGUAGGUAUCUUCUAAAGCUACAUACUGGCAAGACUGAUAGUGAACAAGUACUGCGAGGAAAGAUGAAAAGAACUUUGAAAAUAGAGUUAAUAGUUUGCGAAAUUGUCUAAGGUGAAUUUUUUCAAACCAAUAUCAGAGGGCAAUGUGCAUUCAUCACAUUCUGUGCCAGUAACAUUUUGGUCUGAAGUUAAUAGAUUAGUAAAUGUAGAUAUUUACAACCUUGAUUUUUGCUUUGGAUUAGAAUGAUGAUUGCCACUGCCUUGGGGUUGGUGAAGCAGCUGCCUCAAAGCUACCACUUGUGGACAACUUCAUGAUCAUGGGUGACUAGUGAGGGAUCAGUUGUGUACCACUCUCAGUGUAGGUCACUUAGUUUUAAGCAACCUGUCUUGAAACAUAGACAAAGGGGUUCUACAAAUGUGCAAGUCUCAGGGUGUCAAACCCAAAGGCAACAGAAACUCUGGUGGUAGCUUGUAGCAAUUCUGACGUGCAAAUAUAGUAGCUGCUUCCCAGUGGAAGAUCAAUAAAUCAGUUUUCCGAGGUAAAGCAAAAAACUGAGUAGAGGCCUUGGGGAUGAAGCAUCCUUAACCUAGGAAGGCUCUGGAGUUUCUUAACUGAAGUCUGGAAAUGAAUGAGAUCUUCUCUAGUGGGCCAUUGUCGUUGUUGGUAGGCAGAAGUGGUGAUGCAAAAUGCACUGAAUGUUGACUGAGUGCCUAAAUACUGUAGACACAAAAGUUCUUAGUUCAUCUAAACAGCAGUGCAGUGGCCAUAGAAGUCAGAAUCUGCUGAGGAGUCUGUAACAACUCACCUGGAGGAUGAACUAAUAACAGCCUGUAGCUGCAAAUUUAAAAGAAUUGCCUCUUGAAGGAGAUUGCUGCAAGGCACGAGACCAUAAAUGCUCAGUUACAAUCUUUCUGUGUUUUCAAAGUUGUAUUUUAGCAUCCUUAUUGUUUUAAUGCAGUUGCCAAUAUAGUGUAACUCAGUUUAGAAAACAAGCCAUGGUAUGAUUUGAAAAGUAGACUGCAAAGAAUUUGGUUUUCUUUAAAUAAUUUGAUUUCCCAGACCCUUCUGCUGAAUAAACUAACCCUUAAAAUGGAUGGCACUAAAGCAAGCUCUUAUAGCAGAUACAAUGCUGUAAGUGUAAAGGACAUUGAGGUGGCAUCAAAGUGUUUGGGGUGACCUGGCUUAGACUGCCUUCUGGUGAUGAUCUUGGUGGUAGUAGCAAAUAUUCAAAUGGGAACUUUGAAGCCUAUGAGUUAUGGUAAAGAGCAGUUGGACUUGGCUCACAGCAACAGU
rnacentral:ncRNA from 1 species